rnacentral:rRNA from 1 species
GACGGGUGAGUAACGCGUGAGCAACCUGCCUUUAACAGGGGGAUAACGCAUCGAAAGAUGUGCUAAUACCGCAUAAGACCACGGUUUCACAUGGGACAGGGGUCAAAGGAGCAAUCCGGUUAAAGAUGGGCUCGCGUCCGAUUAGCUAGUUGGUGAGAUAACAGCCCACCAAGGCGACGAUCGGUAGCCGACCUGAGAGGGUGAUCGGCCACAUUGGAACUGAGAUACGGUCCAGACUCCUACGGGAGGCAGCAGUGGGGAAUAUUGGGCAAUGGGCGAAAGCCUGACCCAGCAACGCCGCGUGAGGGAAGAAGGGUUUCGGCUCGUAAACCUCUGUCCUGUGGGACGAAGGAAGUGACGGUACCACAGGAGGAAGCCCCGGCUAACUACGUGCCAGCAGCCGCGGUAAUACGUAGGGGGCGAGCGUUGUCCGGAAUGAUUGGGCGUAAAGGGCGCGUAGGCGGCCUGAUAAGUCUGAAGUGAAAGUCCUGGUUUUAAGCUGGGAAUUGCUUUGGAUACUGGAAGGCUUGAGUGCAGGAGAGGUAAGUGGAAUUCCCAGCGUAGCGGUGAAAUGCGUAGAGAUUGGGAGGAACACCAGUGGCGAAGGCGACUUACUGGACUGUAACUGACGCUGAGGCGCGAAAGUGUGGGGAGCAAACAGGAUUAGAUACCCUGGUAGUCCACACUGUAAACGAUGAAUGCUAGGUGUAGGGGGUAUCGACCCCUUCUGUGCCGCAGUAAACACAAUAAGCAUUCCGCCUGGGGAGUACGGCCGCAAGGUUGAAACUCAAAGGAAUUGACGGGGGCCCGCACAAGCAGCGGAGCAUGUGGUUUAAUUCGACGCAACGCGAAGAACCUUACCAGGUCUUGACAUCCACUUAAACUUACAGAGAUGUAAGGUGUGCUUGCACAAAGUGAGACAGGUGGUGCAUGGUUGUCGUCAGCUCGUGUCGUGAGAUGUUGGGUUAAGUCCCGCAACGAGCGCAACCCUUAUUUUCAGUUACUAACACGUAGAGGUGAGGACUCUGAAGAGACUGCCGGGGACAACUCGGAGGAAGGUGGGGACGACGUCAAAUCAUCAUGCCCCUUAUGACCUGGGCUACACACGUGCUACAAUGGCCACCACAGAGAGGGGCGAACCUGCAAGGGGGAGCGGAUCUCAAAAAAGUGGUCCCAGUUCGGAUUGUGGGCUGCAACCCGCCCACAUGAAGUCGGAGUUGCUAGUAAUCGCGGAUCAGCAUGCCGCGGUGAAUACGUUCCCGGGCCUUGUACACACCGCCCGUCACACCAUGGGAGUUGGGAGUGCCCAAAGU